rnacentral:rRNA from 1 species
CCUACGGGGGGCUGCAGUGAGGAAUAUUGGUCAAUGGACGAGAGCCUGAACCAGCCAAGUAGCGUGAAGGAUGACUGCCCUAUGGGUUGUAAACUUCUUUUAUAUGGGAAUAAAAUGUUCCACGUGUGGGAUUUUGUAUGUACCAUAUGAAUAAGGAUCGGCUGACUCCGUGCCAGCAGCCGCGGUAAUACGGAGGAUCCGAGCGUUAUCCGGAUUUAUUGGGUUUAACGGGAGCGGAGGUGGAUUGUUAAGUCAGUUGUGAAAGUUUGCGGCUCAACCGUAAAAUUGCAGUUGAAACUGGCAGUCUUGAGUACAGGAGAGGUGGGCGGAAUUCGUGGUGUAGCGGUGAAAUGCUUAGAUAUCACGAAGAACUCCGAUUGCGAAGGCAGCUCACUGGACUGCAACUGACACUGAGGCUCGAAAGUGUGGGUAUCAAACAGGAUUAGAUACCCCUGUAGUC